UUCAUGACCCAAGUCACCAAACUAUACGAAAUUUUCACAUAUUGUGUAAAGAAAUUAUAUAAAUUAUCCCUGAAACUCGUCAUGAACAAGAUUUGCACAUUUUUAUUAAAUUAGAGAAAAAACGGAAAAUUUCCGGGUAAUUUUUAGUCCAAUCAAAGCACGUUUAACAUUGAGUUGUAUGCCAGUUGGCCAAUCACGCGCUUUGCUUCAGGCAAGCACAUAACAUGGCUGAGGGUGCCUCAACAGAUGCCUGUUUUACUGGAGAUUCCAAUUUGUUGUUCUGUGGAAUACAUGUCGUGGAAACUUGCAGCAGGGUGAUUGAAUUUGGUGAGAAAAGCAUUAAAAAGGCUGAAGAAUGUGCUGCUAAGUGGAAGAAAGCCUUGAAAACAAAGUCGCUGCUCAAGUGCUGGAACACAAAGAAGACAGCCAGGAAUCAACUCUAACUGAAAGGAGGCAGCAGUGUAUCCCGGGUUAUCAUGCAGAGUGCUAUCGUCACUUCAGCAGCAUAACAACAAUAAAUCGAGCGAUAGCAAAGUCUAGAAGGAAGAAAGUUCAAGACGCUGAAAAGCCUGAAGCAGGUGAAUCACCUCAAGAGGCAGUUCCUGAUGGUGAAGCAGAUGAGCCGGCCCCAAAGAGACUGCUUCGAUCCAUGACAAGUCAUAGUCAACAAACAGCAACUGUCGAGCACACUGACCGCAGGCAUGUCCUACCAGCGCAUUGCAUCAUUUGUAAAUGUUCAAAGUACACAAAAUAAAUAAAUUGUGGAAAAAAAUGAUUAUAUAAAGUUUUAUUUUAAUGUGGAUCGUUUCACUGUUUAUUUGGUCAAAAUAUUUAAACAA